UACUGGAGGAGGAAUAAAAAUAGCAUAAAUAGGAAAGUAAUCCAGUUUCAUUUGAGGACCAGGAUGUUGAGCUGUGCCAUACAGAUUCCAUGGUACAGGGCAUGCGUUGUUUUAUAUAUCAACGCAAGAUUCAAGACUUCGUGCUUUUCAGCUAAAAUUAUUAUAUAGAAUUCUUGCCACCAACAAAAUGUUUAAUAUUUGGGGCAUAACAUCAUCGAAGCGCUGCAGAUUUUGUUGUGAGGAUACAGAAUCGAUAGAGCAUUUAUUUUGGUAUUGCCCUCAGGUAGCCUGUUUCUGGUCUCAGGAUCAGGAAUGGCUGAAAAUGAACAGCAUUGAUCUAAAAUUAACCUGAGAAAUAGUACUGUUAGGAGAUCUGGAGACCAGGUCAGUCAAUUACUAAUACACUAAUACUCUUAGUAAAAGUAUCUAUCUUCAACAGGCAAUCUGUAGAUUCUAUUCGAUAGAUUGGCAGGUUGAUUGGUCUGUCAGUCUCUGUCCCUCAACUUAUGGCAGGCAGCAAUGUAGGGCACUGCCAACCCACAGCUCUCUGCGUCCUCCCCCAACAGGACGGGUAGCCUAUCCUCAUCAGAGAGGUCUUCAAUGUAGUGCGCUGCCAACCCACAGCUCUCUGCGUCCUCCCCCAACAGGACGGGUAGCCUAUCCUCAUCAGAGAGGUCUUCAAUGUAGUGCGCUGCCAACCCACAGCUCUCUGCGUCCUCCCCCAACAGGACGGGUAGCCUAUCCUCAUCAGAGAGGUCUUCAAUGUAGUGCGCUGCCAACCCACAGCUCUCUGCGUCCUCCCCCAACAGGACGGGUAGCCUAUCCUCACCAGAGAGGUCUUCAAUGUAGUGGGCUGCCAACCCACAGCUCUCUGCGUCCUCCCCCAACAGGACGGGUAGCCUAUCCUCAUCAGAGAGGUCUUCAAUGUAGUGCGCUGCCAACCCACAGCUCUCUGCGUCCUCCCCCAACAGGACGGGUAGCCUAUCCUCAUCAGAGAGGUCUUUGAAACCUUGAAUAAGGGUUUCAAAUUUGGGGAAAUUACACUAAUUGUAAAUUUGACAUUUUGUCAGGAAAUGCAGCUCCGUCUCAGGUUCUGCUGUGGUGCAGUGGUUGCACGCCCUUUCCUUUACAGGAAGUCAGGUUUUCAUGCGUCUACCCUUCUCGAUGGAAAGCCUUUGCUCACUGAGUCUGUACUUCUCAUUACUAAUCAUGGUCAAAUAGU